rnacentral:tRNA from 1 species
GGGCCCGUAGCUCAGUCGGCAGAGCAACGCCCUUUUAAGGCGUGGGUCGUGCGUUCGAUUCGCACCGGGCUCACCA